rnacentral:rRNA from 1 species
CCUACGGGUGGCUGCAGUGAGGAAUAUUGGUCAAUGGGCGCGAGCCUGAACCAGCCAAGUAGCGUGAAGGAUGACGGCCCUACGGGUUGUAAACUUCUUUUAUAAGGGAAUAAAGUGAGUCACGUGUGCCUCUUUGUAUGUACUUUAUGAAUAAGGAUCGGCUAACUCCGUGCCAGCAGCCGCGGUAAUACGGAGGAUGCGAGCGUUAUCCGGAUUUAUUGGGUUUAAAGGGAGCGCAGAGGGAUGUGUAAGUCAGUGGUAAAAUUGUGGGGCUCAACCGAAUACUGCAGUUGAAAAUGGGAGUCUUGAGUGCAGUAGAGGUAGGCGGAAUGCGUGGUGUAGCGGUGAAAUGCAUAGAUAUCACGAAGAACUCCGAUUGCGAAGGCAGCUUACUA